GAAAUAGGCACAAAGUGUUAUCUGAGGAUUAUCUGCAGAAAGUUGCUUCUAUUGGUGUCAGAAAGAAGCGUUCGUCUCAUCAACAUCAUUCUUUUGGAACGAGUAGUGAUAAAAAGGAACGAUCCAACGAUGUCUUGAAAGUGGUCAAAAUAAUACGUAGAGAUAAGAACCAUAACCUGUCAAAGGAAAAUUUGCUGCAUCAACAGAAAACGAAUAAUAGGUUGCGAAUUGUUGUCCAUGGAGGAGAUGGAUUGUUUGAAACAUAUAGGCUUUCGAAAUCUCAAUUUGAUGGGGAGGAUGUAACUUUCAACUCAAGAAUUUCUGUAACGA
rnacentral:lncRNA from 1 species